UACGUACCGGACGAACGUUAUUCGGAAUCACUGGGCUUAAAGAGUACGUAGGCUGCCUUGUAGGUGAGAUGUGAAAUCCCACGGCUCAACCGUGGAACUGCGUUUCAAACCACAAGGCUUGAGGGAGACAGGGGUGAGCGGAACUGAUGGUGGAGCGGUGAAAUGCGUUGAUAUCAUCAGGAACACCGGUGGCGAAGGCGGCUCACUGGGUCUCUUCUGACGCUGAGGUACGAAAGCUAGGGUAGCGAACGGGAUUAGAUACCCCGGUAGUCC
rnacentral:rRNA from 1 species